rnacentral:lncRNA from 1 species
UUCUGUCAAAACUAAAUCACCAUUCAAUGUUCCAUAUAUGCAUUCUAUAGACUAAAAGUUAGUACUACCUUCUGUAUGAGUAUAAAAUAAUGAACAAUUAUUACUGAGUCUUCUGUCGAAAAUAGAUAUCAUCAUUCAAUGUUCCCUACAUGCAUUAUAUAGACUAAAAGGACUUUUCCUAUAGACCAUCUUAACCCUGCAACUGCUGUGGCAGGAGCAUACUGUUUUUGCUAAAGCAACUUUCACAUGUAAACUUUAGGAUAACAUUACAAGAAACUGGCAUGUAAAAAAGGAAAUCAUAUAAUAAUACAAAGUUUAUUUGUCAAACCUUGUAAGAACUAAGAAGUAUAUUCCUUUAGCAGCUUAUCAGCCUUUUUAUGCCUCUUAGAAU